UAGUGAAUAAAUCCUGUUCGAAAUGAUGAUGCCUGCAUUAGUGGGUUAGGAAAAGUAGAACAGGUAUCACAG
rnacentral:ncRNA from 1 species